rnacentral:rRNA from 1 species
UACGGAGGGAGCUAGCGUUGUUCGGAAUUACUGGGCGUAAAGCGCACGUAGGCGGCUUUGUAAGUUAGAGGUGAAAGCCUGGAGCUCAACUCCAGAAUUGCCUUUAAGACUGCAUCGCUUGAAUCAUGGAGAGGCGGGUGGAAUUCCGAGUGUAGAGGUGAAAUUCGUAGAUAUUCGGAGGAACACCAGUGGCGAAGGCGGCUCACUGGCCCGAUACUGACGCUGAGGCACGAAAGCGUGGGGAGCAAACAGG